rnacentral:rRNA from 1 species
AAUUCGAUUGAGUUUGAUCCUGGCUCAGGACGAACGCUUGCGGCGUGCCUAAGAAAUGCAAGUCGAACGGGGUAGCAACACCCAGUGGCGAACGGUCGCGUAACACGUAAGCAACCUGCCCUGAAGUGGGGGACAACAGGCCGAAAGGCCUGCUAAUACCGCAUGUGGUCAACCUUUGGCAUCUUAGGUUGACUAAAGGAUUUAUUCGCUUCAGGAUGGGCUUGCGGCCUAUCAGGUAGUUGGUGGGGUAACAGCCUACCAAGCCGACGACGGGUAGCUGGUCUGAGAGGACGAUCAGCCGGAUUGGGACUGAGAUACGGCCCAGACUCCUACGGGGGGCAGCAAUUAGGAAUCUUGCACAAUGGGGGAAACCCUGAUGCAGCGACGCCGCGUGAUGGAUGAAGGCAUUCGUGUCGUAAACUUCUUAUUUAGGGGAAGAAUAAUGACGGUACCCUAAGAAUAAGCCCCGGCUAACUACGUGCCAGCAGCCGCGGUAAUACGUAGGGGGCGAGCGUUGUCCGAAGUUACUGGGCGUAAAGCGCGCGUAGGCGGCUUUUUAAGUCUGAGGUGAAAGGUUCAGCGCUCAACGUGAACAUUGCCUUGGAUACUGGGAAGCUUGAGUGUGGGAGAGGACAGUGGAAUUCCUGGUGUAGCGGUGAAAUGCGUAGAUAUCAGGAGGAACACCAAUG